rnacentral:lncRNA from 1 species
UGAUGAUCGAAUCCGCUAAAGAUUAUGGAUCAUGAUGCCACAAAAGAUCAUCGACAAUAUGUAGUCAAUUAAGGUGGUAAGCAAUCCACUUGACUAAUAACUCAACAAGGAGAGUUAUAUGAACGUUUCGAAAAACGCUCCAUGAGUGCAUUCCACAGUACUUUAUGGUCAUUACUUUUUGCACAGAUUGCCAUUGAAGGCUUUUGUCGAUGUGGCGCGUCAAAGACUUUGAGCGCAUGAGAUGUGAAGUCUCGGCAUCUAGGCUUGUUAGCCUGGGGGUCAAAACAUGUGGUUUAAUCCAAUGAAAGGUUCCACAGAUACCAAGCGAAGAUCCGCCUUAGACAUCUAGUACGUCAAAACUGAAAGGAGCAGAAUGUUACAUUGCUCUUGCAUACAAAACCAAGCUGUUAUGAGACUCGAUAGAGGUCACAAACGAUGCUUUUAAUGGUUUGUCCUUCGGAUUGAUCAUACACAAUCCGGAAAAGCCGCUAAUUGAUCAAACACAAUUUGGAAAAAGGCCUCGAAUUGAUCAAACACAAUCCGGUGAAAGGUCGGGGUUGAUCAAACACAACCCGGACAAACAAACAAGAGUGAUCAAACACUCUUGACCCUCGAAUAAAAUUCCGGGAUUUGGGUAUCUGCACGCACAAAAUCCCAAGCAUAGAAUGGAGAUGGAGAAGGGAGGAAAGGAUUUUAUCCUCCCCGAGUUAUUGAACUUGGAAAAGUUUAAGGUUUCAAAAAACAUACCUUUCUAGAGGCUGCCGAGAGGAGAAAUAACGUUUCGCCUACUUAUACUUCGAAUUUGGGGCUGAAAAUUUGAUAGGAGGAGCAGCUCUGGAUGGGGAAGCUGCUGUCAAAAUUUCAGGUUGAUCGGAGCAAGGGAAGGUGGUGAACCAGGGGUCGGUAGCGGCGGCGGUCUGGAAUCUUCCGGCGGCCGGUUCGAAGACUUUCCGGCCGGUUCUCAGGGUGAGACCGGCGGCGUUGGAUCCGGGACGGAGAGAGCUUUCUGGGGAUAUAAAAUUCCGGUGGAGGACUGUCGGAAUUUUGGUCGGAAAUCGGGAAAAACAAGGCUGCCCGAUUUUAGGGUUUGGUUUUAGGGUUUAGAAAAAAUAGGUGGGCUAUUGGCUCUAGGGUUAGAAUAAAGUGCAUGAUAACGUGAUGAAUGAUUAAUGGUAGAGAUAAAGAGAUAGCAAGAGAAUCAUCAUUUUAUUCAUUGAUAGGAGCCCUUUAUAUAGGGAAUUACACAAUACUAAUAUGGUAAGGAUAUGAAUACAUAGAUCUAGUCUAACUACA